UACGUAGGGGGCUAGCGUUGUCCGGAAUCAUUGGGCGUAAAGCGCGUGUAGGCGGCCCGGUAAGUCCGCUGUGAAAGUCGGGGGCUCAACCCUCGAAAGCCGGUGGAUACUGUCGGGCUCGAGUGCGGAAGAGGCGAGUGGAAUUCCUGGUGUAGCGGUGAAAUGCGUAGAUAUCCGGAGGAACACCGGUGGCGAAGGCGGCUUCCUGGACCGACACUGACGCUGAGGCGCGAAAGCUAGGGGAGCAAACGGG
rnacentral:rRNA from 1 species